GAUGAACGCUGGCGGCGUGCUUAACACAUGCAAGUCGAACGGAAAGGCCCUUCCUUUGUGGGGUGCUCGAGUGGCGAACGGGUGAGUAACACGUGGGUAACCUGCCCUUGACUUUGGGAUAACUUCAGGAAACUGGGGCUAAUACCGGAUAGGAGCUCCUGCUGCAUGGUGUGGGUUGGAGUGUUUCGGCGGUUGGGGAUGGACUCGCGGCUUAUCAGCUUGUUGGUGGGGUAGUGGCUUACCAAGGCUUUGACGGGUAGCCGGCCUGAGAGGGUGAACGGCCACAUUGGGACUGAGAUACGGCCCAGACUCCUACGGGAGGCAGCAGUGGGGAAUAUUGCACAAUGGGCGGAAGCCUGAUGCAGCAACGCCGCGUGCGGGAUGACGGCCUUCGGGUUGUAAACCGCUUUCGCCUGUGACGAAGCGUGAGUGACGGUAACGGGUAAAGAAGCACCGGCUAACUACGUG
rnacentral:rRNA from 1 species